rnacentral:piRNA from 2 species
CUUUCCACGUAGCCUACUGACCUUGA